ACGUUCAACAUGAUCCGAGCUGCCAGUAUUAUAUGGGUGUUAGUGAUAUGUCCUGGAGGUUUUUCCCAGAGUAAUCGUGUUAACCAGAAUCCUCUUGAUGUCUUUGGCAAUCAUCAAAAAUCUGUUAAAAUCCAGUGUGACCACAGUGUACCAAGUUAUGAUCGAAUCCUUUGGUACAGACAAGACCAGGGACUGACCUUUAUUGGAUAUCAAUGGGGAACAACAUCACAACAAAUUGAAAAUGAUUUUAAGAUUAAAGUGGACAUCGUUGGGGAUGGAAGCAAAAAUGUCUCUUUGACCAUCAAAAAUCUUUUAUCCAAUGACAGUGCAGUGUACUUCUGUGCUGCUUAUUACACAAUGUUCAAGGAUAUUGAUUUCUCAAUUAAAUCUCAGUUAAAGUUCAUGGAAGCACUGCAUCCCAGUCCCAGUCCCAGUGAGAAUGAUUUCAAUAUUUCCUUCUUUUGA